rnacentral:rRNA from 1 species
CCUACGGGAGUCAGCAGUGGGGCCUAUUUGACAAUGGGGGGCACCCUGAUCCAGCGCCGCCGCGUGAGUGAAGAAGUAUUUCGGUAUUUACAGCUCUAUCAGCAGGGACGCAAGAAAUUACGGUACCUGACUAAGAAGCCCCGGCUAACUACGUGCCAGCAGCCGCGGUAAUACGUAUGGGGCAAGCGUUAUCCGUAUUUACUGGGUGUAAAGGGAGCGUAGACGGCGAUGCAAGUCUGAAGUGAAAGGCGGGGGCCCAACCCCCGGACUGCUUUGGAAACUGUAUGGCUGGAGUGCAGGAGAGGUAAGUGGAAUUCCUAGUGUAGCGGUGAAAUGCGUAGAUAUUAGGAGGAACACCAGUGGCGAAGGCGGCUUACUGGACUGUAACUGACGUUGAGGCUCGAAAGCGUGGGGAGCAAACAGGAUUAGAGACCCCUGUAGUC